rnacentral:rRNA from 1 species
UACGUAGGGGGCAAGCGUUGUCCGGAAUCAUUGGGCGUAAAGAGCGUGUAGGCGGUCCGUUAAGUCGGCUGUGGAAGUCCAAGGCUCAACCUUGGGAUGCCGGUCGAUACUGCCGGACUAGAGUUCGGAAGAGGCGAGUGGAAUUCCCGGUGUAGCGGUGAAAUGCGCAGAUAUCGGGAGGAACACCUAUGGCGAAGGCAGCUCGCUGGGACGUUACUGACGCUGAGACGCGAAAGCGUGGGGAGCAAACAGG